rnacentral:lncRNA from 1 species
GAUUAAAGUGCCUAGUUUCUGAUUAAUGAGUAGAAAAUGAAAAGUGGGGAAAGAAGCAUAAUUGUUUAAGGUUUUAAGUUUAUGUAUGUGCCAUAUUUAUGUAAUACUAGUUACAAAAUAGAUUCAGAAUCUUUAUGCUAGUUGCAUGUGCUGUAUUCCAUAAUGUGUAGGUUACAGCAUUAAACAAUAUGAAAUAUUGCUGUAAUAUUUUUUGAGUAUGUAGCUCCUGGAUUUUUCUUACAUGUAUUCUUAAUUUAACACUUGACUGUUCAUAAUUCUUAUUAUUAAUAGAGGAAUAUCUUUAGAUAUAUCAAAGCUAAAAAUUCCAUUAUAUAGUAUUUUGCAUUUCAUUUUUUAAUUUAAAUUUUGUAUUUUGGUUUCUUGUUGAGGUACCAGUGACUUCGAAUGAUUCACACAUAUACAUAUGUCUGCACAUACCCAUCCCUAGUAUUGUGUAAGCAAGAUAGUUAUUGCUUGGGUUAAUUUUCCUGUUUGAAGGACUGAAAGUUUUAAGCUGUGGUUUUAUAAACAAAGCUAUAAGUAAACUUAAUUACUUUUUUAUUUGAGUGGAAUAUUGUUUGAAAUCUGUUUCAAAGAAUUGCACUAUUUAAUAAUGCUGCUAGUACAUGAAACAACUCUGGGGAAUUUAUUUCAUCAGAUAAAAUGAGUGGCUUU